CCUACGGGUGGCUGCAGUGGGGAAUAUUGCACAAUGGGGGAAACCCUGAUGCAGCGACGCCGCGUGAAGGAAGAAGUAUUUCGGUAUGUAAACUUCUAUCAGCAGGGAAGAAGAUGACGGUACCUGACUAAGAAGCCCCGGCUAACUACGUGCCAGCAGCCGCGGUAAUACGUAGGGGGCAAGCGUUAUCCGGAUUUACUGGGUGUAAAGGGAGCGUAGGCGGCGAUGCAAGUCAGAAGUGAAAGCCCGGGGCUCAACUCCGGGACUGCUUUUGAAACUGUGUUGCUAGAGUGCAGGAGAGGCAAGCGGAAUUCCUAGUGUAGCGGUGAAAUGCGUAGAUAUUAGGAGGAACACCAGUGGCGAAGGCGGCCUACUGGACUGUAAAUGACGCUGAGGCUCGAAAGCGUGGGGAGCAAACAGGAUUAGAUACCCCAGUAGUC
rnacentral:rRNA from 1 species